UAGUAUGAUACCUCGUGGUUUUGUACAUUGAGAUUCAUCGUGUUUUAGUGGUUCUAGCAUUGGACACUGGGGUUAUCAAGGUUAAAUGAGAUAGACAUGUUUAUCUUAUAGUUAUAAGGGGUUAAGUUCAUGUUUAGCAGGUAUUAGAAGGAUUAAAGGCUCAAUGAAUCAACGAGAAUACGUUUCAGCAAAAGUUGGGAUUUACGGUUGGAUUUACGGACUGUAUAUAUUUACGGACCGUAAAUUUCAUGAUUUCCACCAUAGAAUUGAAUCAGUGGUUGGUGUUUUCUGUUGGGGAUUUAUGGUCCAAAUGUACGGACCGUAAAUAAUUUACGGUCCGUAUAUGGGACCGUAUAUCUGAGGCGGUGGAUGACUUUUUUUAUGUUAUAUACUCGACCCUUAUUCAUUUUAGCUCAUUUCCAACAUUACCCAAGUCCAUGAAAGUUAUAGACUCUAAACAUAUCCAACCAAACCCAAGUAAAAUCAAGGAUUGAAAGAUGAAAAUCAAGAGAUUCAAGUGUUGGGAGGCUCACUAGGGUUUGUAGAGUCCAUGAAUUCCUUUGGUGUUGAAGUUGGAGGUUUCACUCAAGUUGAAUAAUUUGAUCCGAAGCUUGCUCUUGUGUGAUUAAGGUAAGUUUUCACAUCUAUUGCAUGUUUUUUAGGAUGUUUGAUUGUUAUACAACUUGAUUGAGGAAAGAAAGAGAAAAAGGAAGUUCAAAUAUGAAUUUGAGGAUAUUUUGAGAAGUGAAUUAACUUGAGUUAUAAUUAUUAGAAUUCUUUGAGUAUAAUCUUCUUAUGAGGUGUAAUAAUGAUGAUGGGGAAGUGUUGUAUACAAGAGUAUAAGGGGUUGUGUUGAAGUUGUUGUUAUAAAUUGAUUAUGGGAAUAAGUUUUGGGAUUGUAUUGGAUAUAAUUUGAAUGAAAUCUAUUAAUCAUGAUAUUUUGAAGUUGUUAUUGUUGUUUGAGGGUUGAUUUGGAAUUUGGUGGAUGUAUAUGGAAUAAGGGAAGUGCUGCCCAAUUUUCGUUAGUUUAUUAAUUAUUCUAGCUUGAACUUAUGAGUAUUUUCAAGACUUAACGUUGGUGUGAAUCCUCUUGAAUGUAGAUUUGUGAACUUGGAAGGAGAAACGUUAAGUAGUUGAGGAGACAAAAAGGUAGACAGGGUGACUUACAGGAACCUUAGGUUGCUUCAUCAGCGUUUGCUCAGGAGUGCUCCAUUUGUCCUAGAAUUACAGCUUAGCCGCUAUUAUUCUUUUGUAUACAUAUGGGCAUGACAGAGUCUUGUCCCAUCCUUAUACUGUUUGUACUCUUUAUAGAGGCUCGUAGAUAGAUGUUCAUAGUUAGAUGUUCAGUAUACUUAUCGGUUCAUAGUAUUGUAUAUAUUUUUGGUAGCCUUGUAGGCUUGUACAUAUGGCACAGUUGUUGGUGAUUAUAUAGACUAUGAUGCUUCUGAAUUA